UACAGAGGUCCCAAGCGUUGUUCGGAUUCAUUGGGCGUAAAGGGUGCGUAGGCGGCGCGGUAAGGCGGGUGUGAAAUCUCGGAGCUUAACUCCGAAACUGCAUUCGAUACUGCCGUGCUUGAGGACUGGAGAGGAGACUGGAAUUUACGGUGUAGCGGUGAAAUGCGUAGAUAUCGUAAGGAAGACCAGUGGUGAAGGCGGGUCUCUGGACAGUUCCUGACGCUGAGGCACGAAGGCCAGGGGAGCAAACGGG
rnacentral:rRNA from 1 species